AUUGAACGCUGGCGGCAGGCCUAACACAUGCAAGUCGAGCGGAUGAAGGGAGCUUGCUCCUGGAUUCAGCGGCGGACGGGUGAGUAAUGCCUAGGAAUCUGCCUGGUAGUGGGGGAUAACGUCCGGAAACGGGCGCUAAUACCGCAUACGUCCUGAGGGAGAAAGUGGGGGAUCUUCGGACCUCACGCUAUUAGAUGAGCCUAGGUCGGAUUAGCUAGUUGGUGGGGUAAAGGCCUACCAAGGCGACGAUCCGUAACUGGUCUGAGAGGAUGAUCAGUCACACUGGAACUGAGACACGGUCCAGACUCCUACGGGAGGCAGCAGUGGGGAAUAUUGGACAAUGGGCGAAAGCCUGAUCCAGCCAUGCCGCGUGUGUGAAGAAGGUCUUCGGAUUGUAAAGCACCUUAAGUUGGGAGGAAGGGCAGUAAGUUAAUACCUUGCUGUUUUGACGUUACCAACAGAAUAAGCACCGGCUAACUUCGUG
rnacentral:rRNA from 1 species